UAAAUUGGUCUACAUUAAGGUCCAAAGGGUCCAAAAUUAGACUUAGUUUGAUUUUAACAAAAAUUGAAUUUUUGGGGUUCUUUGAUAUGCUGAAUCUAAACAUGUGUUCAGAUUUUUGAUUAUGGGCUCAGUUUUCAAGUUGGUCCAAGUUGGGGUCCAAAAUUAAACUUUGUUUGAUUUCAACAAAAAUUGAAUAUAUGGGGUUCUUUGAUAUUCUGAAUCUAAACAUGUAUUUAGAUUUUAGAUUUUUGGCCCAGUUUUAAAGUUUGUCCAAAUUGGGGUCCAAAAUUAAACAUUGUUUGAUUUCAACAAAAAUUGAAUAUAUGGGGUUCUUUGAUAUGCUGAAUCUUACCAUGUAUUUAGAUUUUUUAUUUGUGGGCCCGCUAUCAAAUUGGUUCAUAUUGAGGUCAAAAGGGUCCAAAAUUAAACUUUGUUUGAUUUCAUCAAAAAUUGAAUUAAUGGGGUUCUUUGAUAUGCCAAAUCUAACUGUGUUUUUAGAUUUUUAAUUUUGGGUCCCGUUUUUUAAAUUGGUCUACAUUAAGGUCCAAAGGGUCCAAAAUUAAACUUAGUUUGAUUUUAACAAAAAUUGAAUUCUUGGGGUACUUUGAUAUGCUGAAUCUAAACAUGUGUUUAAAUUUUUGAUUAUGGGACCAGUUUUCAAGUUUGUCCAAGUUGGGGUCCAAAAUUAAACUUUGUUUGAUUUCAACAAAAAUUGAAUAUAUGGGGUUCUUUGAUAUGCUGAAUCUAACCAUGUAUUUUGAUUUUGGACAUUGGACCAUUAUAGGUAAAUUAAAAAAAUUGAAGUUCUUAGACCACAUUCUUUCUGUGUCAGAAACCUAUGCUGUGUCAAAUAUUUAAUCACAAUCCAAAUUCAGAGCUGUAUCAAGCUUGAAUGUUGUGUCCAUACUUGCCCCAACUGUUCAGGGUUCGACCUCUGCGGUCGUAUCAAGCUGCGCCCAGCGAAGCAUUUUAUUGAUUUUUGGCCCAGUUUUCAAGUUGGUCCAAAUUGGGGUCCAAAAUUAAACUUUGUUUGAUUUCAACAAAAAUUGAAUAUAUGGGGUUCUUUGAUAUGCUGAAUCUAACCAUGUAUUUAGAUUUUUUAUUUGUGGACCCCGUUAUCUAAUUGGUUCAUAUUGAGGUCAAAAGGGUCCAAAAUUAAACUUUGUUUGAUUUCAUCUAAAAUUGAAUUAUUGGGGUUCUUUGAUAUUCCAAAUCUAACCGCGUAUUUAGAUUUUUAAUUUUAAG